rnacentral:rRNA from 1 species
GGGCCCGCACAAGCAGUGGAGUAUGUGGUUUAAUUCGAAGCAACGCGAAGAACCUUACCAGGGCUUGACAUAUACAGGAAUAUUUAAGAAAUUAAAUAGCUCUUCGGAGCCUGUAAACAGGUGGUGCAUGGUUGUCGUCAGCUCGUGUCGUGAGAUGUUAGGUUAAGUCCUGCAACGAGCGCAACCCCUAUGAUUAGUUACCAGCGAGUAAUGUCGGGAACUCUAAUCAGACUGCCGGUGAUAAAUCGGAGGAAGGUGGGGAUGACGUCAAAUCAUCAUGCCCUUUAUGUCCUGGGCUACACACGUACUACAAUGGCUGUAACAGAGGGAUGCAAAACAGUGAUGUCAAGCGGAACCCUAAAUGCAGUCUCAAUUCGGAUUGAAGGCUGAAAUUCGCCUUCAUGAAACCGGAAUUGCUAGUAAUGGCAGGUAAGUAUACUGCCGUGAAUACGUUCCCGGGCCUU